rnacentral:rRNA from 1 species
AAUGGGUGACACAUGUCAUUUAUUCGAAAGGGGCAAUUGCUCCACUACAAGAUGGACCUGCGUUGUAUUAGCUAGUAGGUGAGGUAACGGCUCACCUAGGCGACGAUACAUAGCCGACGUGAGAGGGUGAUCGGCCACACUGGGACUGAGACACGCCCCAGACACCUACGGGAGGCAGCAGUAGGGAAUCUUCGGCAAUGGGGGCAACCCUGACCGAGCAACGCCGCGUGAGUGAAGAAGGUUUUCGGAUCGUAAAGCUCUGUUUGUAAGUCAAGAACGAGUGUGAGAGUGGAAAGUUCACACUGUGACGGUAGCUUACCAGAAAGGGACGGCUAAUUACGUGCCAGCAGCCGCGGUAAUACGUAGGUCCCGAGCGUUGUCCGGAUUUAUUGGGCGUAAAGCGAGCCCAGGCGGUUUGAUAAGUCUGAAGUUAAAGGCUGUGGCUCAACCAUAGUUCGCUUUGGAAACUGUCAAACUUGAGUGCAGAAGGGGAGAGUGGAAUUCCAUGUGUAGCGGUGAAAUGCGUAGAUAUAUGGAGGAACACCGGUGGCGAAAGCGGCUCUCUGGUCUGUAACUGACGCUGAGGCUCGAAAGCGUGGGGAGCGAACCCGAAAAGAUACCCUGGUAGUCCCCCCC